GACGAACGCUGGCGGCGUGCUUAACACAUGCAAGUCGAACGGAAAGGCCCUGCUUUUGUGGGGUGCUCGAGUGGCGAACGGGUGAGUAACACGUGAGUAACCUGCCCUUGACUUUGGGACAACUUCAGGAAACUGGGGCUAAUACCGGAUAGGAGCUCCUGCUGCAUGGUGGGGGUUGGAAAGUUUCGGCGGUUGGGGAUGGACUCGCGGCUUAUCAGCUUGUUGGUGGGGUAGUGGCUUACCAAGGCUUUGACGGGUAGCCGGCCUGAGAGGGUGACCGGCCACAUUGGGACUGAGAUACGGCCCAGACUCCUACGGGAGGCAGCAGUGGGGAAUAUUGCACAAUGGGCGGAAGCCUGAUGCAGCAACGCCGCGUGCGGGAUGACGGCCUUCGGGUUGUAAACCGCUUUCGCCUGUGACGAAGCGUGAGUGACGGUAACGGGUAAAGAAGCACCGGCUAACUACGUG
rnacentral:rRNA from 1 species